rnacentral:rRNA from 1 species
AGUGAACGCUGGCGGUAGGCCUAACACAUGCAAGUCGAACGGCAGCACAGUAAGAGCUUGCUCUUACGGGUGGCGAGUGGCGGACGGGUGAGGAAUACAUCGGAAUCUACUUUUUCGUGGGGGAUAACGUAGGGAAACUUACGCUAAUACCGCAUACGACCUACGGGUGAAAGCAGGGGAUCUUCGGACCUUGCGCGAUUGAAUGAGCCGAUGUCGGAUUAGCUAGUUGGCGGGGUAAAGGCCCACCAAGGCGACGAUCCGUAGCUGGUCUGAGAGGAUGAUCAGCCACACUGGAACUGAGACGCGGUCCAGACUCCCACGGGAGGCAGCAGUGGGGAAUAUUGGACAAUGGGCGCAAGCCUGAUCCAGCCAUACCGCGUGGGUGAAGAAGGCCUUCGGGUUGUAAAGCCCUUUUGUUGGGAAAGAAAAGCAGCAGGUUAAUACCCCGCUGUUCUGACGGUACCCAAAGAAUAAGCACCGGCUAACUUCGUG